rnacentral:tRNA from 1 species
GAGACGUUAGUAAACUAAUUACAUAACCUUGUCAAGGUUAAAUAGCAGGUGAAAUUCCAGCACAUCUCA